rnacentral:lncRNA from 1 species
UGUGGGGAUCUCAUGCAUGGUAAUAACUACAUGUAUAUACAACUUGCAUCCUUGGCACAAAGUUAUUAUAUUCUACUCAAUCCAUAGGCGUCAUUAAUGUCAUCCAGACUGUUUUGAAGUUGAUACAACUGGCUAUGAUAGGCUCCUGAGUGGCGCAGUGGUCUAAGACACUGCAUCCCAGUGCAAGAGGCGUCACCGCAGAACCUGGUUCGAAUCCAUCACAUCUGGCCUUGAUUGGAAGUCCCAUAGGGCGGCCCAGCGUCGCAGGGUAUUUUUGUCAGCCAUCUUUGUUGAAGAAAGUCUCCAGCCUUGGGUCGUAUAGCGUCAAAUUCGUCAUGGGAACCACUCGAUAUGAUUGGUCAUCGCCCAGCGGUCGCCGUUGUAAAAAGUUAAACUUUUUCACCGCCUCUCUCGCCACCUUCGUACCGCCCAAAGGUCCCCGAUUGAAAUGAAAGGGAAGCGGUGUUCCACCGCGCGGCAACCUGUUCUAGUGUAUCAUGCCCGAGUCUGCCCCAGAUCGUUCCCUUAGAGACGAUGAAAAUAAUUAACAAGAUGUUCUUGAUCUGAUUGAGGAAGAUUCAUGAAUGAAACCGGGGAUGCAGUAAAGAGGUUCUCUGACCAAUUAUCCGCCACCUCCCUCAUGACCUGGAAAAAUAGACUGACUCUCGAUAGGUUACGGGCAAAGAGGGCGGUGUAAGUAGAAUGAUUAGGUUCAUUACUGUACGUACAUUUCUGAUAACACAGCUCAUGUUUGGGAAAUGGAAAAGUGUUGCAAGAACUGUAUUAUGGGCUGCUUUCACCUGUAUGAGUGUGUUUGGGUUGUGUGGUUGUUGUUUGGUCCCGUGUGCGAGAGGUUUAAUCACCAGAACUCUAGAGAGAUGGACAACGGAGCAGAUGGUGAGCUACGGACCGAGUCAAAGUUCAGACCAAUGAGACAAGUACCUACUGCCGAGCAAGCCCUAUUGAGACUUGACAAGCUAUCUGCUGAGAUGAAGGGUGAAGCAGGGGUAGACGAGGGAAAUUGGAUGAAUUUCUUUUUUGGCAAGUACACAUCUAUGGUGGUUACUGGAAUUCUGACCCUAGUACUUGUGUUCCUAUUAUUGAUAUGUUGUGCUGCCUGUAUAAUCCCUUGCAUAAGAAAGUCUCUUACAGAAGUUGUCAGAGCAAACCGGAAUGAUGCCUUUGAUGGAACUGACCCCGGAGAACACUAAAUCCAGCUCUGGGCCAAAGAUGGAUCUGUCAGAGGAUGAUCCUUGUUUUACUGUUGAGGAAGUGGUUGAAUAAAGCGUAUGCACA